UACGAAGGGGGCUAGCGCUGUUCGGAAUCACUGGGCGUAAAGGGCGCGUAGGCGGCUGUUCAAGUCGGGGGUGAAAGCCUGUGGCUCAACCACAGAAUUGCCUUCGAUACUGGACGGCUCGAGACCGGAAGAGGUCAGUGGAACUGCGAGUGUAGAGGUGAAAUUCGUAGAUAUUCGCAAGAACACCAGUGGCGAAGGCGGCUGACUGGUCCGGUUCUGACGCUGAGGCGCGAAAGCGUGGGGAGCAAACAGG
rnacentral:rRNA from 1 species